UGCAGUCGAGGGGCAGCAUGACCUAGCAAUAGGUUGAUGGCGACCGGCGCACGGGUGAGUAACACGUAUCCAACCUACCGGUUAUUCCGGGAUAGCCUUUCGAAAGAAAGAUUAAUACCGGAUAGUAUAACGAGAAGGCAUCUUUUUGUUAUUAAAGAAUUUCGAUAACCGAUGGGGAUGCGUUCCAUUAGUUUGUUGGCGGGGUAACGGCCCACCAAGACAUCGAUGGAUAGGGGUUCCGAGAGGAAGGUCCCCCACAUUGGAACUGAGACACGGUCCAAACUCCUACGGGAGGCAGCAGUGAGGAAUAUUGGUCAAUGGACGAGAGUCUGAACCAGCCAAGUAGCGUGAAGGAUGACUGCCCUAUGGGUUGUAAACUUCUUUUAUAUGGGAAUAAAGUGAGCCACGUGUGGCUUUUUGUAUGUACCAUACGAAUAAGGAUCGGCUAACUCCGUGCCAGCAGCCGCGGUAAUACGGAGGAUCCGAGCGUUAUCCGGAUUUAUUGGGUUUAAAGGGAGCGUAGGCGGACUAUUAAGUCAGCUGUGAAAGUUUGCGGCUCAACCGUAAAAUUGCAGUUGAUACUGGUCGUCUUGAGUGCAGUAGAGGUAGGCGGAAUUCGUGGUGUAGCGGUGAAAUGCUUAGAUAUCACGAAGAACUCCGAUUGCGAA
rnacentral:rRNA from 1 species